CCUACGGGUGGCUGCAGUGGGGAAUAUUGGACAAUGGGCGAAAGCCUGAUCCAGCCAUGCCGCGUGUGUGAAGAAGGCCUUCGGGUUGUAAAGCACUUUCAGUGGGGAAGAAAGCCUUGGGGCUAAUACCCUCGAGGAAGGACAUUACCCACAGAAGAAGCACCGGCUAACUCCGUGCCAGCAGCCGCGGUAAUACGGAGGGUGCGAGCGUUAAUCGGAAUUACUGGGCGUAAAGCGCGCGUAGGCGGUCUGAUAAGCCGGUUGUGAAAUCCCCGGGCUCAACCUGGGAACGGCAUCCGGAACUGUCAGGCUAGAGUGAAGGAGAGGAAGGUAGAAUUCCCGGUGUAGCGGUGAAAUGCGUAGAGAUCGGGAGGAAUACCAGUGGCGAAGGCGGCCUUCUGGACUGACACUGACGCUGAGGUGCGAAAGCGUGGGUAGCAAACAGGAUUAGAUACCCGAGUAGUC
rnacentral:rRNA from 1 species